ACAAAUUAGAGUGCUCAAAGCAGGCCGUUGGUCGCCUGAAUACUGUGUGCAUGGAAUAAUAGAAUAGGACCUCGGUUCCAUUUUGUUGGUUUUCAGAACUCGAGGUAAUGAUUAAUAGGGACGGACGGGGGCAUUCGUAUUGCGACGUUAGAGGUGAAAUUCUUGGAUCGUCGCAAGACGAACCGAUGCGAAAGCAUUUGCCAAGAACGUUUUCGUUGAUCAAGAACGAAAGUUAGAGGUUCGAAGGCGAUCAGAUACCGCCCUAGUUCUAACCAUAAACGAUGCCAGCUAGCCAUCCGCCGAAGUUCCUUAUAUGACUCGGCGGGCAGCUUCCGGGAAACCAAAGCUCUUGGGUUCCGGGGGAAGUAUGGUUGCAAAGCUCAAACUUAAAGGAAUUGACGGAAGGGCACCACCAGGAGUGGAGCCUGCGGCUUAAUUUGACUCAACACGGGAAACCUCACCAGGCCCAGACACCGGUAGGAUUGACAGAAUAAGAGCUCUUUCUUGAUUCGGUGGGUGGUGGUGCAUGGCCGUCCUUAGUUGGUGGAGC
rnacentral:rRNA from 1 species